rnacentral:rRNA from 1 species
GACGAACGCUGGCGGCGUGCUUAACACAUGCAAGUCGAACGGACAGGCCCUGCUUUUGUGGGGUGCUCGAGUGGCGAACGGGUGAGUAACACGUGAGUAACCUGCCCUUGACUUUGGGAUAACUUCAGGAAACUGGGGCUAAUACCGGAUAGGAGCUCCUGCUGCAUGGUGGGGGUUGGAAAGUUUCGGCGGUUGGGGAUGGACUCGCGGCUUAUCAGCUUGUUGGUGGGGUAGUGGCUUACCAAGGCUGUGACGGGUAGCCGGCCUGAGAGGGUGACCGGCCACAUUGGGACUGAGAUAGGGCCCAGACUCGUACGGGAGGCAGCAGGGGGGAAUAUGGCACAGUGGGCGGAAGCCUGAGGCAGCAACGCCGCGUGCGGGAUGACGGCCUUCGGGGGGUAAACCGCUUUGGCCUGUGACGAAGCGGGAGUGACGGUAAUGGGUAAAGAAGCACCGGCUAACUACGUG